rnacentral:tmRNA from 1 species
GGGGCUGAAUUAGCUCUAGACAUAUGGACAUUGAAAAUCUAUUUUGCGAGUCGUCUGAUCUGGCGUUACCGGAUCAAAUUUUUAGAUGCAAACGCAUUUACUACUAAGGUGAAAGCCGCUGUUAACAGCGUUGUAGCAUUUUUUGCUGCUCCAAAGUUUACAGUACAAGCUUUCGCUGCUAUCCAACUUUAGUUGGGUCCAUCGUGCCCGCGACACCAUCUAGUGGUUGCACGGUGCAAUAUUGAUGGUUGCUGCUACCUUUAGUGUUUUGACUACUGUCUCAUUGAACUAGCUCAAGACUACAAAAGACGAUAUUUUUACAUGAAUUUUUGGCAUUUCUCCCGUCAUGUAAGAGGUUUUUGAAAAUUGCCUACACUCGUAGAAGAAUAGGUUCUCACCGUAUGGACGCGGGUGCAAUUCCCGCCAGCUCCACCA